AUCGCGGCGACGGACGUCCAAGCGACAUUCGGUAGGCCCACCACAUCCACUUAACCCAGCCCAUCGUCGGUGUGGUCCUCAUUCGAUCCCCAAUUCGCUCCAACAAACCCUGCCGCACGCUGCAUCUCAAUCGACCCCCAAAUCGAACCAAGACACCCUAGCUGAUAAAGAUGGCAGAUGCAGUUGCUGAUCCGGUCGCCCUGCUAAUCGUGCCUUGCCCGGAUUGCGGCAGGAACGUCGUGACCUAUGUAGCUCGUCACUGCCAGAACGGCGUCGAGCGUUUCUACAAGUGCCGCAGUCACAUCCCAGCACGUGGUGGAUGCGACUUCUAUAGGUGUCCGCAAGCUUACACCGAGUCGCUUGCUGCUGCAGCAACUCCGUUGGCGCAAAUCAUGCUUGGACAGGAGCAAGCUGCCCAAGCGUUAGGAGUUGAAGUUCCGGGCCAGCAGAACGGACCGCCGGAGGGCACGCAGUCCACAUCUUCUGCCAGCGCCGUCGCAGGAUACAUGGUUGCCGCAUCUGUUUGUACGUGAGCAAGAACUGGAAGACACAUGGCUAACAGAGCCCCCGCUCGAACCAGGUGCAGGCAUCUCUGCUCGCACACGCCUUGAUGUUUUUGGCUUAUCGUCCUCAUUCUUCUGGCUCAUAUGGUCCACACGGCCACAAUGCCCCGGACGUCCGCCGGCGGCGACCGGCCAUGGCUUCGCCGGAGUCCACCUCUGGCGAUGGAAGCUAAGACCGGCUUCCGCUUCCAAUCGCUCUCUCUGCCGAGCAGGAGGACGCCCGCAUCUGACCUGUCCGUCCCUGGAGUAAGCUCCGAACCCUCCUCCGUCCCUGGUGGCUGGAGGUAGAUGCUAGUUUUUGAGGUCGGCGAAGGUUGGAUUGUUGUACACUCUACAGACAGAAUGGAUCCAUUCAGUUCUGUUUCUGAAUGUGUUUUUUCCUAACUUCCUAUGCUUUUUGAGGAGAUAAUAACAGACCAAAGGUAAUGUAAGUUGCAGAGGUCUAUGCUUAUUAGCAGGGAUGCGAUUUUGCAGAGGAAAUUCGACUCCCCAUCUUUGUCUUGGAUGGCAAUUGCAGUCGAGUAGAACUCGCUCUGUCUUAUCUGAAACAAACACACACACACCUCUUAUCAGGGAAAUAACCAUAUAAAUUAUGUCAGGGCUCUGAGUGAAAUCAGGUUAUAUUAAUUUAGGUGCAACGGCGGCUCUGCAAGUUUGCAUUCGGUAAAUAUGCUCUCUGAAAUUUACACAUAUGCAUGGUGAAUCAUGUAAGAAUAGGAAACCAAGUCUGCACUGGGUUUGGCAGCUUCUGGUGUUGGUCGAUGCAAUCAACAAUGGACACUGCUGGAAGGAAACCAAGAACAGGAAGUUUGUCUCUGCCUGCUCGAAUGAGCAAGCUAAGGGCUGCAAAUGUCCACAAGGCUUCAAGGGUGACGGCGUACACGGCUGCAAAGGUAUCGCUAGUACAAACAUUGAUCUGCAACCUUGUGGGCAAUAUUGUUCCAUGUUUGCAUGUGCUUAUGUACUCCCUCAAUACAAACAUUGUUUCUUGGAGUAUAUUUUAGCAUCAUUUGUGUUUCAUAAUUGGUUCAAGACUGAUAUCUGUGGAUGGGGCAAUGAUAGAAAUUCACCAUAUGUGUAAACUAGCACCGACAAACCUGGAACAAUGGCGGAAGUACUGAACUGUUCGAGCUUCUUAAUUCAGAUUACCUACAAGAGGCAGUCUGAGGAAGGAACAAUGAUUGGAGUCACAGUAACAGCAGAGGCGAUGGUGGGGAAGGAUCGAUUCCGCCACUCAGGUGGCGAUUCCACCAGCACUGCUACUAGCUCGAUCCACGGAGUGGCGAUUCUGCCACUCAGGUGGCCGGCGGCUGCGGCGGGCAGUGGAACUGGAAGAUUAAUCGCGUAGGUAGGUGGCGGCGCAGAUGGGCGCCAAAAUCGCGCUAGUGGGCGGCGGCUACCCCCGGAGAUGCGCGGGCGACGGACGGGGACCUAUUUCAAACAGUUUUGGAAGUAAGAGUUCUUUUUUUGCUAAAAUGCCAGUACACUAGGUGCGCAACAAUCUUUUUUCGACGGAUGGGGUAUUAAUAUUAUCUUGUGAAAAUUUGAUCUGAAUUCCCUGUGCUUUGUGUAACACAGACUAAGAUCUUCUUUUGCCUUCCGCACAUGCCACUUGCACGUGAGUGGUGUCUGGCAUCACUUUCUCUAUUGCUAUCUCCAUUGAUCUGCAUAUACAU